AUACGGAGGGUGCAAGCGUUACUCGGAAUCACUGGGCGUAAAGCGCGCGCAGGCGGCUUGAUAAGUUGGAUGUGAAAGCCUACGGCUCAACCGUAGAACUGCAUCCAAAACUGUCAGGCUCGAGUGUGGGAGAGGAAGAUGGAAUUAGUUGUGUAGGGGUAAAAUCCGUAGAGAUAACUAGGAAUACCAAAAGCGAAGGCAAUCUUCUGGAACACUACUGACGCUGAGGCGCGAAGGCGUGGGGAGCAAACAGGAUUAGAAACCCCAGUAGUCC
rnacentral:rRNA from 1 species